ACUUACUGCAGCAGAUUGUUCUGGUUGGCAUCUGAGUCGUUGUUGUUGCUGCUGCUCGUAGCAUCAUAUUCUCAUUUCUGGCAUCUCCGAGCGGGCUUACUGGGCGUGGUCUUGGGAUGAGUUGGUCAUCCAUGAUUUGCCUGCAACAAUUGAAUUUGUGUAUCAGCAAACAGGGCAGAAGUUAAAGGAUGUUGGUCAUUCUAUGGGUACUCUGAUAGCUCUAUCAUCAUUCUCAGAGAGGAAGAUGGUGGAUAAUCUCAAGUCAGCGGCCCUCUUAAGUCCGGUUGCCUAUUUGACAACUCCAGUAAGGAUAGUUGCAGCCAGAUCAUUUUCGGGAGAAGUAUGGGAUACUUGCUGCUAUGUAUUAUAAAUUUUUCAUGAAAAGAGAUGAUACUUUGAGUUCAUAUGCCUCUAUUGCUGUAUGUUGCCCAAAUUUCACCAUCUUAAGAGUUCAGAACAGCAUGGCCAUGUCUGGUGGAAGCUUGUUAGGUUUGGACAAUAAAAAUCCACUAUUGUAGUAUUACAGAUUCCUGAUACUGUUGUUUGCUCUUUUGCAGACAUUGAGGUGGUUUGGACUGACAGAAUUUGAUCCCAAAGGGUCAGCUGCAGGAAAUUUUUUUAAGAAAGUCUGCCAUCUGCCAGGUGUGAAUUGCUAUGACUCAAUGACAUCAGUCACAGGUAUAAAUUCUGCCAAAUAGAUUCCAUAAAAAUAUUCUUGAACUUAACUUCUGACUGUCACUAAUAUAUAUGCCACCGUAAUAAUUUUCGCUACUCUGCAAACAAUUUGAAUAUCAACUGCUGCCUCAAUGCCUCUACUGUGGAGCUUUUCUUGAGGUUUGAACACCAGCCUACAUCAAUGAAGACAAUGAUCCAUCUUGCACAGAGUAAGUCUGAUGCAAAUCUGAAGCAUAUUGAGCACAUCUUGGUUUCUUAGCCAUCCAAUGAGAACUGAAUAACCUUUAUGAUUGGUACUACCUUUUAAUGCUUCAAUUCAUUGUGCAUGUUUCCUCACUUGUAAUACUUUAUCAUGCUGAAUAUUUUGAAAUUAAACUUAUUUUGGCAUUUUCUAAGGAUCAAACAAUGAUUGAGUAUUGUGAUCAUUGAGGGCUUGUAU